rnacentral:rRNA from 1 species
UACAGAGGGGCAAGCGUUAUUCGGAAUUAUUGGGCGUAAAGGGCGCGUAGGCGGCAUGGCAAGUGGAAGGUGAAAUCCCUCGGCUCAACCGGGGAACUGCGUCUGAUACUGGGUGGCUUGAAUCCGGGAGAGGGAUGCGGAAUUCCAGGUGUAGCGGUGAAAUGCGUAGAUAUCUGGAGGAACAUCGGUGGCGAAGGCGGCAUCCUGGACCGGUAUUGACGCUGAGGCGCGAAAGGCCAGGGGAGACAAACGGGG